ACGUCGAAACUGCGUUGUAGUCGCCGCGAACGCCCCGUACACAAAAACAAACGGCAUCCGUCCGUCGAAUCCCGCGCGGGAGGAAAACGCGGGAUAAUCGAAACGCGGAACCGGAGACCGGGAAAUCCAAUGUGUUUAAAUAACGACGACCAUGCCCCGGCGCGCUGUUCGUUUUCCCACCGUCACCGACGACCUAACACGGCAAACGAACGUUCGGCAGUACCGAACCCGCGCCGUUGGCUACAUUUAAUACGAUAAGCGUGCGCGAAUAAUUGACCCGUUACAUUAUCAAGUUCGAUAUACGGCGAAAAACAUCGCCGGUAUGCCUACGUCCGUUUUUUUUUUUUUUUAACCGGUUCAAUUUUAACGCGACAGUACGUAAAAACACUACUACUCAAAAGCGCUCGGAUUUCGUUUUAAAAUUGAAAUAUCGUAAAAAAAAAAUAAUAAUAAUAAUAAUAAAAAACCAACGCAAUCCUUAAGUCAAUUCAUUUCACGUUUUAAUACUCGCGUCAACAACACAGGUUUGACUAAUGCAAAUUUGCCGUGUUGCGCGCGGUUCGGUGAACAAAUAAUCGUGGGGCGCUGGACAACCUGCAUUAAACGAGGGGUUUUUUUUUUUCUGCAAAAUAUCCGUUUACACGAAGUUAUCGUUUUGAAAUGAGAUCGUGAUAAAAAUAACAAAUGUUACGCCGCGCGUGAAACACUCUGUAUCGCGCACUCGAACGACAUUCUAUAUAUA